rnacentral:misc_RNA from 1 species
AACAUCGCGCACCUGCGGGAACCUGCGGAAGGAUCAUUACCGAGUUAUACAACUCAUCAACCCUGUGAACAUACCUAUAACGUUGCCUCGGCGGGAACAGACGGCCCCGUAACACGGGCCGCCCCCGCCAGAGGACCCCCUAACUCUGUUUCUAUAAUGUUUCUUCUGAGUAAACAAGCAAAUAAAUUAAAACUUUUAACAAUGGAUCU